GGAGAGAUGGCUGAGUGGUCAAAAGCGACAGAUUGCUAAUCCGUUGUGCGAUAUUAGACGUACCGAGGGUUCGAAUCCCUCUCUUUCCA
rnacentral:tRNA from 1 species